rnacentral:rRNA from 1 species
AUUGAACGCUGGCGGCCGGCCUAACACAUGCAAGUCGAACGAGUGGCGGACGGGUGAGUAAUGUAUGGGAAACUGCCUGAUGGAGGGGGAUAACUACUGGAAACGGUAGCUAAUACCGCAUACCAUCGGAUGUGCCCAGAGGGGAUUAGCUAGUAGGGGGGGUAAAGGCUCACAUAGGCGACGAUCCCUAGCUGGUCUGAGAGGAUGACCAGCCACACUGGACCUGAGAAACGGUCCAGACUCCUACGGGAGGCAGCAGUGGGGAAUAUUGCACAAUGGGCGCAAGCCUGAUGCAGCCAUGCCGCGUGUAUGAAGAAGGCUUUCGGGUUUUAAAGUACUUUCAGCGGGGAGGCGUUACCCGCAGAAGAAGCACCGGCUAACUCCGUGCCAGCAGCCGCGGUAAUUC